rnacentral:misc_RNA from 1 species
CAGACUCUUCUAAACCCUCAAAUUUCCCUCUUUUCCAAGAGCUCAAACAAAGAAAACAAUAGCACAACCACCUUCUCUCUAUUGUCUUCCUUCCCCACUUUCUCAGAUCACCAAUCUCUUCAAUUUCAAUCCAUAACCUCCACUACUCCACCACCCCCCCAAAACCCAUCAACCAAUACCACCGCUACCUUUAUCCACUCUUCCACUCUGAUUUUUCUUUCUUUUUUCUGUAAUGGUCACUGGUGGGUCCCACCGGGAUGAUGGGGACAAAAACCACCGCCGUCCCGCUGCCACCGUUUCUAGAGCUGGUACCACCAGGUCUUGGGGCACCACCACUGUCUC